GCUGAGAUAGCUCAGUUGGUUAGAGCGACGGUUUUGUAAACCGUAGGUCCCGAGUUCGAAUCUCGGUCUCAGCU
rnacentral:tRNA from 1 species